AUUAUAUCAAUGUCACUAGUAAUGGUUAUAAUUAGGGCAUACAAAUCUUGAUAAGAAAAGAAGAUUAGUUAAAUUCUUUCCAUUGAUAUCCCAAAAAGAUACGAUUAUUUUCCAUAUCCAUCCCAUUCUUUUACCGAAACCUAAUUACUCUUAAACAAAACUAAUUACAGAAAACAGAUAAAUAUCCCAUUAACAAAGCAAACAAUCUAAUUGAGGAAGAAGAAGAGGAAACUGAUUCAGUCUUCAUCAACACCCUCAAAAGCCCAAGCAUUCUCCUCGCGAAGCCUGGCCUCCUCUUCCGGCGUGAAAUCAUUCUCGAUCCCAAAAAACUGUCUCACGUACUCAACGCUCUUGUUCUUGAUCCGAUCAGCCACAGCCUGAUUAAGCACAUCCAACAGAUUCUUGACGUCUAGAUAAUUAACCGCCAAUAUCAACUCUCUCAGUUGCUCAUUGCUCAGCUCCUUCACGAAGUCAGCAUCGUAUGCCUUCCUGGCGUCCUCAGGGGCCGAUUCAGCGCGGAACUUCAAGUUCCUUUUGCAAUAUUGGAUUAUGCGGGAAAGAGGUUCGGCCAAUACAUUUGGCAGAGGAAUUACCGUGCCGAACGUUGUCUCAGUAUUGUCAUCGAAGAAGGUUUUCACAGUCGCGAAUUCCAUAGCCACCGGCUCCUCCACUUCAAAGUAGUUGGCGUCUGCAGUCUUGAGAGUGAUAGUCUUGGCCGGGGCAGGGGUAGCGGUGUCAGUAGGCAAGUUGGGUUCGUGGUCGCCGGAGGUGGACGACAUUCUGGCAGACGAAAUUGGGUGUAAAAUAAGAGAGAGGAAGGGUUUACAGG
rnacentral:misc_RNA from 1 species